UACACACCGCCCGUCACACCAUGGGAGUUGGUCUUACCCGACGGCGCUGCGCCAACCGCAAGGAGGCAGGCGACCACGGUAGGGUCAGCGACUGGGGUGAAGUCGUAACAAGGUACCC
rnacentral:rRNA from 1 species